rnacentral:rRNA from 1 species
GUGUCAGCCGCCGCGGUAAUACGGAGGGGGCUAGCGUUGUUCGGAAUUACUGGGCGUAAAGCGUACGUAGGCGGCUUUGUAAGUUAGAGGUGAAAGCCCGGGGCUCAACCCCGGAAUUGCCUUUAAGACUGCAUCGCUUGAAUCGCGGAGAGGUGAGUGGAAUUCCGAGUGUAGAGGUGAAAUUCGUAGAUAUUCGGAAGAACACCAGUGGCGAAGGCGGCUCACUGGACGCGUAUUGACGCUGAGGUACGAAAGCGUGGGGAGCAAACAGGAUUAGAUACCCCGGUAGUCC